CGGAGCUUGGUCUCCACCCGCUGGACGCCGCCCCGGUUCCUGCAGCACUUCGGCAGCUCCGCGUCCGCCAUCGCCGCCUGAGCUCAGCCAAAGGUUUCAUCACAUUGUUUUGAAGAGCAAGAGAUGUAUCCUUGGAGCACAAGAGUAGGUACCACCUAACCUGGCGAGUGUUUCCAGUAUUUUAUUUCAGAUUUCCAGCUUCGGCAGUAUCUUGCUUUCAAAGCGUGGUAACAGGCCCUUCCAGCCCAACGAGUCCGCGCCACCCAUUUUAAACCCAAAUUAACCUACCCGUACGUCUUUGCAAUGUGGGAGGAAACCGGAGCACCCGGAGGAAACCCACGCAGACGCAAGGAGGACGUACAAACUCCUUACAGACUGCGACAGGAAUCCAACCCCGAUCGCUGGCGCUGUAAUACCGUCGCGCUAACCACUACGCUACCGUGCCUUUUCUUAUUGAUUUGGGGAUUUUUUUUUCCUUUCCUUU